GCUCGAGUGGCGAACGGGUGAGUAACACGUGAGUAGCCUGCCCUUGACUUUGGGAUAACUUCAGGAAACUGGGGCUAAUACCGGAUAGGAGCUCCUGCUGCAUGGUGGGGGUUGGAAAGUUUCGGCGGUUGGGGAUGGACUCGCGGCUUAUCAGCUUGUUGGUGGGGUAGUGGCUUACCAAGGCUUUGACGGGUAGCCGGCCUGAGAGGGUGACCGGCCACAUUGGGACUGAGAUACGGCCCAG
rnacentral:rRNA from 1 species